AAAAGCCCGAGGACAGCUAACGCUCGAAAGAGUGAGGAAAGUCCUCUCUCCAUGGUAAAGUUCAACUGGCGCAAGCCGGUAUCCCGAGAGGGAUGGUAAAGAGAAAAGAAAUAAACGGUUUCCAGCAAAGUAUGAUUCUCAAAGAUGACGUUCCUGGAAGUGCCGAUGGGAACUCUUCCUGAAUGGAGAAAGUCUAAACAGGCCCAGUGAGGUUACCGCAAGGGCCGGGUAAGACGCAGACCUUAGGGUCAUCAGUCGAAUGCUGUCAGCCGCGAAAGUGGGGAACAGAAAGAGGCUUACUCCGGGCAUUU
rnacentral:RNase_P_RNA from 1 species